UGCCAGUAGUCAUAUGCUUGUCUCAAAGACUAAGCCAUGCAUGUCUAAGUAUAAGCGAUUUAUAGUGAAACUGCGAAUGGCUCAUUAAAACAGUUAUAGUUUAUUUGAUAAUCGAAUUUUACAUGGAUAACCGUGGUAAUUCUAGAGCUAAUACAUGCUGUUAAGCCUGACUUUUUGGAAGGGCUGUAUUUAUUAGAUACAAACCGAUAUUCCUUCGGGUCUAUUGUGAUGAUUCAAUAUAACUGAUCGAAUCGCAUGGUCUUGCACCGCGAUAAAUCAUUCAAGUUUCUGCCCCAUCAGCUUUCGAUGGUAGUGUAUUGGACUACCAUGGCUUUCACGGGUAACGGAGGAUUAGGGUUCGAUUCCGGAGAGGGAGCCUGAGAAACGGCUACCACAUCUAAGGAAGGCAGCAGGCGCGUAAAUUACCCAAUCCUGACUCAGGGAGGUAGUGACAAGAAAUAACAGACCGGAGCCUACGGUUCCGGGAUUGCAAUGAGUACAAUUUAGACUCCUUAACAAGUAACAAUUGGAGGGCAAGUCUGGUGCCAGCAGCCGCGGUAAUUCCAGCUCCAAUAGCGUAUAUUAAAGUUGUUGCAGUUAAAAAGCUCGUAGUUGGAUUUCUGUGAGAGUGCCGGUGUCGGCUGAUGCUUGUACGCAGGCGCUCUUACAUCCUUCUGUUAACUGUUCUUGGCAUUUUAUUGCUGGUUCAGGGCUCAGAUAUUUUACCUUGAGAAAAUUAGAGUGUUUCAGGCAGGCUUAUGCCGGAAUACAUUAGCAUGGAAUAAUGGAACAGGACCUGUGCGUCUCUCGGGGCGCCGGUCUCCGUUGUUGGUUUCGGGGACUAAUGUAAUGAUUAAUAGGGAUAGUUGGGGGCAUUAGUAUUUAAUAGUCAGAGGUGAAAUUCUCGGAUUUGUUAAAGACUAACUUAUGCGAAAGCAUUUGCCAAGGAUGUUUUCAUUAAUCAAGAACGAAAGUUAGGGGAUCAAAGACGAUCAGAUACCGUCCUAGUCUUAACCAUAAACUAUGCCGACUAGGGAUCGGAGGCGAGUACUAACAGCCUUCGGAACCUUAUGAGAAAUCAAAGUCUUUGGGUUCUGGGGGGAGUAUGGUCGCAAGGCUGAAACUUAAAGGAAUUGACGGAAGGGCACCACCAGGCGUGGAGCUUGCGGCUCAAUUUGACUCAACACGGG
rnacentral:rRNA from 1 species